GUGCCCGUCCACCGAACGGUCGGCAGGCGAUCCGCGUCGGUCGCGCUGGGUGGUAUGGUUCCCCAGAGGCCGGUUCUUGUGCUGCCUACCCCUUCAGGGGAAGAGUUCCAAACUCGAUGUAAGCCUCCAUCCGGCGCCCUCCAAAGGGCGCGGGAGGACAACGGAGCACCCCCCGCGUUCCACCGAGCCUCCACGGUCGCGUGGCCCGCGGGGACGUGCGAUGCUCUCGGACCCAGCGAACGCCGUGGGCGAGGACUCACGUCCCGGUCCCAAGUGAAGCAACGGUAUAACGCACGACGGCCGCUCCCGCCCCCCGACCGCCCCGGCGGCGCGGGGGCGAAGGCGCGGCGUCGCUGAGGAAUGCU
rnacentral:misc_RNA from 1 species